rnacentral:rRNA from 1 species
AGGAUCAUUAUCGAAAUGCCCACCACAGAGCUGUCGCUGGNNNNUGGCUGUGCACGCUUUGUCGUUCUUCAUUUCUCCAUCUACUUUGUGCACUCGCUUGCCAUGGAUAUCAUUGUCUGAGGGGGUUUCCUUGGAUCCAUUAGGACUGCUUUGCAAAAUUUGUGGGCUUUCCUUGUUAUUUCCAUGUCUUUCUUCACAUACCCCCAGUUGUAACCAAUUCUGAAGGAAAUAGAUGCAUAUAAUACAACUUUCAGCAACGGAUCUCUUGGCUCUCGCAUCGAUGAAGAACGCAGCGAAAUGCGAUAAGUAAUGUGAAUUGCAGAAUUCAGUGAAUCAUCGAAUCUUUGAACGCAUCUUGCGCUCCUCGGUAUUCCAAGGAGCAUGCCUGUUUGAGUGUCAUCAAUAUCUCAACUACACCAAUUUAUGAUUGGUGUGGCUUGGAUCUGGGGGUUUAUGCAGGCUCCAGCUUUGUGGUCUGCUCCCCUGAAAUGCAUGAGUGGUCGACCCUCCGUUAGGUGUGAUAAAUUAUCUGCAUCUGAUGGAAAGGUCAUGGCUGCCGUAUCUCAUUGGAGUUGAUAAACUUGACCUCAAAUCAGGUAGGACCACCCGCUNAACUUAAGCAUAUCAAUAAGCGGAGGAAAAGAAACUAACCAGGAUUCCCUUAGUAACUGCGAGUGAAGUGGGAAGAGCUCAAAUUUGUAAUCUGGCAGCCAUUCGGCCGUCCGAGUUGUAAUCUAAAGAAGUGCUACCUGUGCUGGACCAUGUACAAGUCUUCUGGAAUGNAGCAUCAUAGAGGGUGAGAAUCCCGUCUUUGACAUGGACUGCCAGUGCUCAAUAGGUGCGCUCUCAAAGAGUCGAGUUGUUUGGGAAUGCAGCUCAAAAUGGGUGGUAAAUGCCAUCUAAAGCUAAAUAUUGGCGAGAGACCGAUAGCGAACAAGUACCGUGAGGGAAAGAUGAAAAGAACUUUGGAAAGAGAGUUAAACAGUACGUGAAAUUGCUGAAAGGGAAACGCUUGAAGUCAGUCGCGUCGGUCGGAAAUCAACCUUGCUUUUGCUGGGUGUACUUUCCGUCCGAUGGGUCAGCAUCAAUUUUGGCUGCUGGAUAAAGUUCUUUGGGAACGUGGCAUCCUCGGAUGUGUUAUAGCCCUCGGGACAUAUGCAGCUGCUNNNAUUGAGGAACUCAGCACGCCUUUUUGGCUGGGCUUGUCCACACGAA